rnacentral:misc_RNA from 1 species
CGGGACCACACAAGCGGUGGAUGAUGUGGAUUAAUUCGAUGCAACGCGAAAAACCUUACCUACCCUUGACAUGUCUGGAAUCCCGAAGAGAUUUGGGAGUGCUCGCAAGAGAACCGGAACACAGGUGCUGCAUGGCUGUCGUCAGCUCGUGUCGUGAGAUGUUGGGUUAAGUCCUGGCAAGGCGCAACCCUUGUCAUUAGUUGCUACGAAAGGGCACUCUAAUGAGACUGCCGGUGACAAACCGGAGGAAGGUGGGGAUGACGUCAAGUCCUCAUGGCCCUUAUGGGUAGGGCUUCACACGUCAUACAAUGGUCGGGACAGAGGGUCGCCAACCCGCGAGAGGCCAAUCCCAGAAACCCGAUCGUAGUCCGGAUCACGCGGUCUGCAACUCGACUGCGUGAAGUCGGAAUCGCUAGUAAUCGCGGAUCAGCAUGUCGCGGUGAAUGCGUUCCCGGGUCUUAACACCGCCCGCACCAUGGGAGUGGGUUUUACCGAAGUAGUUAGCCUAACCGUAAGGAGGGCGAUUACCACAGUAGGAUUCAUGACUGGGGUGAAGCUCGUAACCGUCAG